CAGCCGUAAACGAUGUGCGUUAGGUGUAUCGACGACCACGAGUUGUCGAGGUGCCGAAGGGAAACCGUGAAACGUACCGCCUGGGAAGUACGGUCGCAAGGCUGAAACUUAAAGGAAUUGGCGGGGGAGCACCACAACAGGUGGAGCCUGCGGUUUAAUUGGACUCAACGCCGGGAAGCUCACCGGAUAGGACAGCAGAAUGAUUGCCGGGCUGAAGACCCUGCAUGACUAGCUGAGAGGAGGUGCAUGGCGUCAGUGACU
rnacentral:rRNA from 1 species